UGGCAUGUUUGGUUUUGAAUAUACAUGCAAGCGCACAGAGGAAACACACACACACGGAACUCAGCACAGAGGGUGUAAAAGCAUAGAGUGAAAAGUCAGGGUGGCUCUCCACUGCCCGCGAGUCCACACUCCCUGCACCAAAUCCAGUGUUUGCAGUGUCUCAGAUCUCCUGAGAGGCUGCGAGCAGCUACGCACACAAUCGAGUUGGUCUUCUUGCCUUUUCCUCCAACUGGCAGCCCGCUUUACAUUUGGGCCUGCCUUUUCUCCCUAGGAUGAACCCAUAUUUCCACCACUAGACAGCAAAGAAUCUGUCUGCAAUGCGGGAGACCUGGGUUCAACCCCUGGGUCAGGAAGAUCCCCUGAAGGAGGGCAUGGCAACCCACUCCAGUAUUAUUGCCUGGAGAAUUCCAUGGACAGAGGAGCCUGGCGGGCUACAGUCCAUGGGGUCGCAAAGAGUUGGACACGACUGAGUGACUUUCACUUUGCCGAGGAAUAAUAACCAUAAUGUUCACAAUAAUAAUAACGGCAGCAAAGGUUUCCAAAGGAUUUACUGUGUGCUGGGCAUGGUUCCAGAUGCUUUACAUGGAUUAAUGAAUGCAUCAGAAAGGUGAAGCGAUCCUAUCAGGAGGUUCUAAUCUCCAUUUUGUAGAUGGGGAAACUGAGGCCUGGAGUGUCAAGGCGCCUCCCCAGUGGCACACAGCUGUGCUUGGCAGAGGUAGGACUCAGACUCAGGCAGGCGGGCUCCCAGGUCUGUGCUCCAAAAUCCUUCACCAUCCGGCCCCUCCCUCUGCUUUCUGGAUGGAUCUGGUGGUCUUGACGGGUGACAGGUGAUGUACCACUGGGCUUAUCUCCAUCUUGCUGCUGCUGCUGCUAAGUCACUUCAGUCGUGUCCGAUUCUGUGUGACCCCAUAGAUGGCAGCCCACCAGGCUCCCCUGUCCCUGGGAAUCUCCACACUGGAGUGGGUUGCCAUUUCCUUCUCCAAUGCGUGAAAGUGAAGUCGCUCAGUCGUGUCCAACCCUCAGCGACCCCAUGAACUGCAGCCUACCAGGCUCCUCCAUCCAUGGGAUUUUUCAAGCAAGAGUACUGGAGUUGGGUGCCGUUGCCUUCUCUGAUUUCAAUCUUGGGCUGGUGCUAAAUGUGCUAUGAACACCCUCCUGGGACGUCACGCCAUGUGGAACUGCAAGGAGGUCCCAUCUCGGAAGUGCCUGGCCAGACAGGAGUGAGCAGUGCAAUGGCCGACAGCCACUGCCCAAGUGUUGUCUUGGUGGUGAUGUUGGAGGUGAUGGUGAUGAUGCUGGUGGUGAUGCUGGAGGUGAUGGUGGUGAUGCUGGAGGUGAUGCUGGAGGAUGAAUUUGGAGGUGAUGCUGGAGGUGAUGUUGGAGGAUGAUGUUGGAGGUGAUGCUGGAGGUGAUGCUGGAGGUGAUGGUGGUGAUGCUGGAGGUGAUGGUGGUGAUGCUGGAGGUGAUGCUGGAGGUGAUGCUGAUGCCUGAUCCAGUUCCCCAGAAGAAGGGAGAAAUCCACAGCUGCCACAUCCUGAGCCUAUCUCCGGGGUUACUUGACCUCCCUCCUGUUCUCUGAUGGGUGGACAGGACUCCAGGCUCCCCUCCCGUCUGCCUGCCUCCAGCCACCGUGGUCCCCCAGUCCCGGCUCCACGCAGUGGCUGGAGCAACGGUAAAACCUAAGUUGGGUCAGGCCUUUUCCAGCUCCCCCCUGCCCUCUCUCUCCCUGCCCCCAUCCAGGCCAAGCCAGAGGUGGGUCCCCCAACUGCCCCGCCCACUCCCCCACCUGCUGCAGGGGCCAGCCCUGGCGCCUAGGACACCCCCACCCACUCUUCACCUGGCUACAUCCUCUGGUCUGAACGCACAGCCUUCCCCAAGUGCCCAGACUGAGGCAGGCAGGGCCUCCCCUGUCCACCCACCCCCAACAACCUGGGCCCCUGAGAAUCUUAGCUUGACUCACACUAUCUCUGAUGGCUGUCUCUACUAACAGAAUAUCUACAGAGAUUUUUGCCUGUUUUCUUCGUUUCCAUAUCCCUGCAGACUGGAGUUUAGUAGGUGCUCAAAAAAGUUGUUGAGGGACUUCCCUGGUGGUCGAGUAGCUGAGACUCGGUGUUUCCCAUGCAGGGGAGCUCCUGGUCGGGGAGUUAAAAUCCCACAUCCUAUGGAGUGCGGCCAAAAAAUUUAAAAAAAAAUUACUGACAGGGUGAAGGUAUGAAUGAACGAAUGAGUCCGUGGGGAGCCCAGAUCUGUGGGCAGAACGCCUGUUCUGGGGUGGGUGGGGUCCGGGCCGCCCCCCACCCAGG
ensembl:lncRNA